GGGAUAAGAGUGAGUGUGUAUGGUUUUUACGCAAUUGUAAGCGAUAUUCCAGAAUAUCACGGCGGGGAACACCAGAAAUGGGCUUCACAAGUUGUACCCAUGUGGGGAAUCGAAUCCGGGCCUUCGGC